rnacentral:rRNA from 1 species
CCUACGGGAGGCUGCAGUGGGGAAUAUUGCACAAUGGGGGAAACCCUGAUGCAGCGACGCCGCGUGAGUGAAGAAGUAUUUCGGUAUGUAAAGCCUUAUCAGCAGGGAAGAAAAUGACGGUACCUGAUUACGAAGCCGCGGCUAACUACGUGACAGGAGCCGCGGUAAUACGUAGGGGGCAAGCGUUAUCCGGAUUUACUGGGUGUAAAGGGAGCGUAGUCGGCAGCACUAGUCUGGAGUGAAAUGCCGUGGCUUAACCCCGGACCUGCUUUGGAAACUGGGCAGCUAGAGUGCAGGAGAGGUAAGUGGAAUUCCUGGUGUAGCGGUGAAAUGCGUAGAUAUUAGGAGGAACACCAGUGGCGAAGGCGGCUUCCUGGACAUUAACUGACGCUGAGGCACGAAGGCCAGGGGAGCGAACAGGAUUAGAUACCCGUGUAGUC